rnacentral:rRNA from 1 species
AGUGAACGCUGGCGGCAGGCCUAACACAUGCCAGUCGAGCGGCAGCGGGUCCUUCGGGAUGCCGGCGAGCGGCGGACGGGUGAGGAAUACAUCGGAAUCUGCCCUGUCGUGGGGGAUAACCUAGGGAAACUUAGGCUAAUACCGCAUACGACCUACGGGUGAAAGCGGGGGAUCGCAAGACCUCGCGCGACAGGAUGAGCCGAUGUCCGAUUAGCUAGUUGGCGGGGUAAAGGCCCACCAAGGCGACGAUCGGUAGCUGGUCUGAGAGGAUGAUCAGCCACACUGGGACUGAGACACGGCCCAGACUCCUACGGGAGGCAGCAGUGGGGAAUAUUGGACAAUGGGCGCAAGCCUGAUCCAGCCAUGCCGCGUGGGUGAAGAAGGCCUUCGGGUUGUAAAGCCCUUUUGUCCGGGAAGAAAUCGUCUGGGCUAAUACCCCGGGCGGAUGACGGUACCGGAAGAAUAAGCACCGGCUAACUUCGU